GUCUCUUGUCCUUUCGAUGGUUCUCAACUGCCCAAGGCAAAUGAGAUGAAAAGGGAACACGGUGCGGCGUAGCCUACAGGCACCAAAUCCGUGACUGCCCCCGCAACUGUGAGCGGUGAGCGACCCCGAUGUGAGCCACUGGAUGAUUUGUCCGGGAAGGUUUGGGGAAGCCGCGACCCGCAAGUCAGGAGACCUGCCAUCACCGACAUGUAUCG
rnacentral:ncRNA from 2 species